CCUCUGCUUCUCAUCCUUUUCUGUUUGGUUAAUUUUCACCAAAAAAAACACAAAAAACAGAAAAAUCUUGUGGGUUUUGGUGUUCCCUGUGAGGUGAUUUAGUGAAGAUGCUCCAUAUUUAAGGGACAGAGGAGAGUUUAAUAAGACCUGAAGCACAUAGCUGGCGUGCAUGACGCUCCUCCUGGGGAUUCUCUGUGAGCUCUUCAAAAUACCAGAGAAUGGAAUUAAAAAAGAAAAAAAAUAAGGCAGGAUUUGGAUGGAUUACUCAUACUUAAAAAGGAAGGCGGCUUUUAACCUUAAAAAAAAAGGAAGAAAGGAAAGAAAAGAAAAAAGAAAAAGAAAACUCCUUGCAUUAACACAGUGCAUUGACAUGUUACUAAAUCUAAGGAAUUUUGAAGGAUAAAUUCCCAGACUUGAUCCAAAACAUGAAACAAAUUCUUCAAACACAAGCUGCCAAGCUCAUCAACUUGUUCAGAUCUCUGUACCUUUGGUCUCACCAAACUGCUCGCUUAGCUUCUUGAUUGGCUGUUUAACCCUUCCAGGCUGACUGGGGUGGUGGGCAGGGGGGAGCCAGGAGGGGACCGUGCAACCAUCUCAGAGCAUUGGCCCUCUUGGAAGACCAGACUUCUGGAAUCGAUUUGGGUCCAGAAUUGCAUUACCCAUGGAAUGUGGAGUAUGCACGGUCCUUGACGGCUUGUGAACCACACUUCCUGGAGCUGGCCACCAGCCAGAGCUGAGACCAUCAGCAUCUUACAAAUGAAUUCUUUAUGAGACAAAGCACAAAUCACGGCCAUGGAAAGCUUGUCUCAGGCAUUGUAAGGUGUCAAACAGCCUGGGGUUUCAUCUUGCUGAAACUUAACUGCUUUCCUCGUAACUUUGCUUCUCUGUGCAAAAUACUGCCCACCAACUGCUCAGAAGACAGGACACGUAAAAGUAAAGGUGGCAAUAAAACUGAAGAGGGGGGCUGAUUCUGUGUCCCCCAGGACUUGAGGUCUAGUGGGCAUGAUGAGAUGAAUAUCUGGGAAGGAUGUUUAAAAAUCCAAAUAAAGGAAUACUCUGCAAGGGUAUUUAUAGGAAAGGGUGAGUUGUAGAGACCCAGUUAGAAAUGAGAACAUUCAAGCUGGUGAGAAAAGAUGAGGACGUAGGCUCAGAAGCAGGAGUCAGCAAAAAAGCUGUGGGUGUGUCUCGCUGGAGUGGGGGGAUCCUCGCCUGAGAGAGAGUAUGGUGCAGCAAGCAUGCAGGGGGCAGUUGGGGGUGAGUGGCAGAAAGAGAGCCAUGUGGGGCUUAAUUUUGCUUUAUUUUUGAAAGUACUGUCAAAUAUAAUGAUCUUAUGGUUAUUUAGUUACUCUCCACUUAGGCAAGGAAUCUUUUCACCUGAUAUCUUUCUGAUGAUCUUACUUCUUUUCUCUCUCUUAUUUGGAUCAUUUCCUUUCAAAGCCAGUUUUAUGUCCUGAAAAUGUGCCAUUGGCCCAUUAAAAUCACUCCUGGCUCUCUAAUUCUACAAUACUAUGUAUGUAAGUAGCUCUCCUUUAUCCAAGGAAGGAAGGAUGCCUUCUGUAUCAGGUGUUGCAUGCAUGGGUGAGACUUCUGUCCCAAUAAUUGAAAAGUUGAUUAUCUAGUACUCUGCAGGCAAAUCUGACAGUUUUAUUCCUCCCACACAUACCACCAAAUCUCAGCACCUAGGUGGUAAUAGUAAUGAUGCCUUACCAUCAGUGAAAAUUUUGCAUACAGUCUCGACUGAAUUCUCCUUUCUACUUAUAAAGAGGUCUAAGAAAAAUCUACCUUAAACAUAAAAUCUCUUAUAAUCCUUAGUGUCAUAAUUAUACACCUAUUUAGCCAAUUCUUCAUCCUAUCAAUAAUAAAAAGUAACUUUCUCCAAGUAUAUUGAGAUUCUAGUGAGGUCAGUAUUUCCAAGUAAACCCAUCAUAUUGAUCCCAAUGAACUGAAUUAUACCAAUUACAUGGGAAUCUAGAGCCAGCCUGAAGGAAUCAUUCCAAAUUAAAUGACUAUUUUAUAAGGUUUUAAAAAAAUAAUCUGCUUUCUAAAAUAACAUAAGGACUGUUACUUUUUAUCCUGUUUUCUAAAUAGACUUUAAUUGAUAAAAAUGAAGUUAACUUGAGUGUAAGUUCUUUUGAGGAUACGGAAAAUGUCUAGCAUAGUCCUUUGGUGAACAAAUUAGGGAAUGAGUGAAUGAAUGACUUCUUAAAAGAAGCUCUUUUUCAUUAGUCAGGGAUGGGCCGAACAAUAAAAAAUUGUUGGAAAUGGUCAUAAGAAAAAUUGGUUAAAUCAUUUCACUGUCCCUUAGCGUAGUCUUGACAAGGGUGUUGUAGAAAAAUCAUCAGUCUACUUGGUCGAAAGUCAAGGUGAUUGUAACUGUGUCAUCAUGGAAUACUACAAACUGACUCGGCUAACUUUCUACUGGGCAGCAUACUCCGGGGCUUUGACAACCCUAACAUUUUACUAUAUGUCUCCCCAGCAGGGAAGGCCCCUCAGUGAAUCUGAUCUAGUCCAUGAGUUUAGAAGGAAGAAGCAAAAGCCCAAGGAAGUGCUACAAUUUGCCCGGUGUCACACAUACAAGGCAGAGCUUGAAGGCUCUCUUCCUUCUAACCCAGCUAAUGUUCCUUUUACUGCACCAUGAUUCCAUGCUACAAACUCAUG